rnacentral:rRNA from 1 species
CACGGAGAGUUUGAUCCUGGCUCAGGAUGAACGCUGGCGGCGCGCCUAACACAUGCAAGUCGAACGAGUAAGACGCCUUCGGGCGUGCAUAGAGUGGCGAACGGGUGAGUAACACGUGACCAACCUGCCCCCUCCUCCGGGACAACCUCGGGAAACCGAGGCUAAUACCGGAUACUCCGGGCCCCCCGCAUGGGG